GGUCAAGCGAAUAAGCGCACACGGUGGAUGCCUUGGCGGUCAGAGGCGAUGAAGGACGUGGCAGCCUGCGAAAAGUAUCGGGGAGCUGGCAACAAGCUUUGAUCCGGUAAUGUCCGAAUGGGGAAACCCACCCGCUUGCGGGUAUCCUGCAGUGAAUACAUAGCUGCUGGAAGCGAACCUGGUGAACUGAAAUAUCUAAGUAACCAGAGGAAAAGAAAUCAACCGAGAUUCCGUAAGUAGCGACGAGCGAACGCGGACUAGCCCUUAAGCUGAUUUGGUUCUAGGAAAACGCUCUGGAAAGAGCGGCCAUAGAAGGUGAUAGCCCUGUAUCUGAAAGGGCCAUUUCAGUGAAGACGAGUAGGGCGGGGCACGUGAAACCCUGUCUGAACAUGGGGGGACCAUCCUCCAAGGCUAAAUACUACUGACCGACCGAUAGUGAACCAGUACCGUGAGGGAAAGGCGAAAAGAACCCCGGAGAGGGGAGUGAAAUAGAACCUGAAACCGUGUGCGUACAAGCAGUAGGAGCUCCGCAAGGAGUGACUGCGUACCUUUUGUAUAAUGGGUCAGCGACUUACUGUUCGUGGCAAGCUUAACCGUAUAGGGGAGGCGAAGGGAAACCGAGUCUGAUAAGGGCGCAUAGUCGCGGGCAGUAGACCCGAAACCGGGUGAUCUAGUCAUGCCCAGGGUGAAGGUGCGGUAACACGCACUGGAGGCCCGAACCCACUCCCGUUGCAAAGGUAGGGGAUGAGGUGUGAUUAGGAGUGAAAAGCUAAUCGAACCCGGAGAUAGCUGGUUCUCCUCGAAAGCUAUUUAGGUAGCGCCUCAUAUGUAUCCUCUCGGGGGUAGAGCACUGUUAUGGCUAGGGGGUCAUCGCGACUUACCAAACCAUUGCAAACUCCGAAUACCGAGACGGACUGUAUGGGAGACACACGGCGGGUGCUAACGUCCGUCGUGAAAAGGGAAACAACCCAGACCCACAGCUAAGGUCCCAAAUUUUGUGCUAAGUGGAAAACCAUGUGGAAAGGCACAGACAGCCAGGAGGUUGGCUUAGAAGCAGCCACCCUUUAAAGAAAGCGUAAUAGCUCACUGGUCGAGUCGGUCUGCGGGGAAGAUUUAACGGGGCUAAGCACAGAACCGAAGCUUGGGGUGCAUAACUUUGUUAUGCGCGGUAGAGGAGCGUUCCGUAAGCCGUUGAAGGUGGAUUGAGAAGUCUGCUGGAGGUAUCGGAAGUGCGAAUGCUGACAUGAGUAACGAUAAUGCGGGUGAAAAACCCGCACGCCGAAAGCCCAAGGUUUCCUUGCGCAACGUUAAUCGGCGCAGGGUGAGUCGGCCCCUAAGGCGAGGACGAAAGUCGUAGUCGAUGGGAAGCAGGUUAAUAUUCCUGCACCUCGCGUAAGUGCGAUGGAGGGACGGAGAAGGUUAGGUGUACCAGGCGUUGGUUGUCCUGGGGAAAGGCGGUAGGUUUGGAUCUUUGGCAAAUCCGGGAUCCUUCAAGACCGAGCACCGAGACGAGCCUUUAUGGCGAAGUCACUGAUACCACGCUUCCAGGAAAAGCUCCUAAGCUUCAGCUUACGCAGACCGUACCGUAAACCGACACAGGUGGGUAGGAUGAGAAUUCUCAGGCGCUUGAGAGAACUCGGGUGAAGGAACUAGGCAACAUGGCACCGUAACUUCGGGAGAAGGUGCACCCUUUUUGGUGGCUCGUGCGAGCUAUAGCUGAAGAGGGUCGCAGUAACCAGGCCGCUGCGACUGUUUAUCAAAAACACAGCACUCUGCAAACACGAAAGUGGACGUAUAGGGUGUGACGCCUGCCCGGUGCUGGAAGGUUAAUUGAUGGGGUCAGCCGCAAGGCGAAGCUCUUGAUCGAAGCCCCAGUAAACGGCGGCCGUAACUAUAACGGUCCUAAGGUAGCGAAAUUCCUUGUCGGGUAAGUUCCGACCUGCACGAAUGGCGUAACGACAGCGGCGCUGUCUCCACCCGAGACUCAGUGAAAUUGAAAUCGCUGUGAAGAUGCAGCGUUCCCGUGGCAAGACGGAAAGACCCCGUGAACCUUUACUAUAGCUUUACACUGAACGUUGAGUUCGUCUGUGUAGGAUAGGUGGGAGGCUAUGAAACUGUGGCGCUAGCUGCAGCGGAGCCAUCCUUGAAAUACCACCCUGUCGUGCUUGACGUUCUAACCUGGGCCCAUUAUCUGGGUCGGGGACCGUGUAUGGUGGGUAGUUUGACUGGGGCGGUCUCCUCCUAAAGAGUAACGGAGGAGCUCGAAGGUACGCUCAGCGCGGUCGGACAUCGCGCACUGUGUGCAAAGGCAUAAGCGUGCUUGACUGCAAGAUCGACGGAUCAAGCAGGUAGGAAACUAGGACUUAGUGAUCCGGUGGUUCUGUAUGGAAGGGCCAUCGCUCAACGGAUAAAAGGUACUCCGGGGAUAACAGGCUGAUACCGCCCAAGAGUUCAUAUCGACGGCGGUGUUUGGCACCUCGAUGUCGGCUCAUCACAUCCUGGGGCUGUAGUCGGUCCCAAGGGUAUGGCUGUUCGCCAUUUAAAGUGGUACGCGAGCUGGGUUCAGAACGUCGUGAGACAGUUCGGUCCCUAUCUGCCAUGGGCGUUGGAGAUUUGAGAGGGGCUGCUCCUAGUACGAGAGGACCGGAGUGGACGAACCUCUGGUGUUCCGGUUGUCACGCCAGUGGCAUUGCCGGGUAGCUAUGUUCGGAAGCGAUAACCGCUGAAAGCAUCUAAGCGGGAAGCGCGCCUCAAGAUGAGAUCUCCCGGGGCACAAGCCCCCUGAAGGAACCAUGUAGACUACGUGGUUGAUAGGUCAGGUGUGUAAGUACAGCAAUGUAUUGAGCUAACUGAUACUAAUGAUCCGUGCGGCUUGACCAU
rnacentral:rRNA from 1 species